CGUGUCACAAUCUUAUUUGUAAAAUUAUUCUUUUGUGGAAAAAUUUCUAGGUUAGGGUUAGAAACCAUUUGCAGUAUGGAAAGAACUAGUCUAGUGCCCGUGCGUGACGCACGCACGGGUGGAUACCAACAAUAUUUUAUAAAUGAAAGAACCAAUAUGAGCCUCAAAUUAUCUAAUAUAAAAGAAAAAACAUAAACAUAAUGACAACAUUAAAGAAUUUUCAUAAAUAUCGAGCGAGACACAAAAAACAUAAAAACAAAUUUCAGAAAUUAAAUAAGAGCAAUACAACCAUAUUGAUUAACACACCGAUUUAUAUCGUUGUUGAUUUCAAAGUCAAUAAAUCAACAUUGAGUUCAAACUACCAAGACAAUUGUAAUAAUCCAGCUCUCAUUAAUAAUAAUGGUGUGAAUUAGAGACUCCAAAUAAAGGAUGAGAUAAAAUUUUAUAUAGUAAAUUGGAGAAAUAUUGAUGAAAAGAAACAAUUAUGUUUUAGUAGUAAAAGGAGGGGCAAAAUAGUAAAAGAGGAAAGGGUUAAAUGUGAUUAAUAAGAGGAAUGAAAGAGGAGUGUUAUUUGAACAACCAAUUUGGUGACAACUUAUUUGACAACCAUAUUUUACAAAGAAAAAUGUGGUAUUGGCACAAAAAUCAUAGCAAUAGAGAGAUAAAGUAAAAAGUAACGUGAGUAUAAGAAAGAAAGUUGUUGCAAAAGUUGUCAUUUAUGUUCAAAUAUCAUUUCUCGGAAUGAAAAUCAGAAUUUUCAUUAUAUCUCUCUCUUCUUUUCUCAGACGCCAUCCUCUCUUCUUCACCUUGGUCAUCACCUGCAAAUUCCUUCCUCACCAAUCCCUCAAAAUCAAGCACAUCCAUGAAUGAAAAUCAUAAACCCAUCAUCAAAGAAACCCAUUUCCAGUAAUAUUUUGCUCAAAUUCUCCAUUUUCCCUCCUGUUUAGAAUCAAACCAAAAACCCCCACAUUUCUUUUCUUCAAACCCUCCUAUUGCAUGUACGAAAUUCUCAUGAAAAUCAAGCUUUGGAUGUCUAGAAACUGAGGGUGGACCCUGCGGGUUUGACAUAGCCAUACAAACCGGUAAGUGAGAUGUUCGGAACAUGAGGAUCGUCUUUUCAUGUCACUCUGAUUCCCUGGAGGCUUAGGAGCACUUAAAGAAACUGAUUUUAAACAUUUGGUUUGAAGUAGGAGAGCUUGGAAAGAAAUUGAAGAAUAAGCAUAAGCUGAAGCAAGAAUGUAGGAGCUUGAGACUUAAAGUUUGGAGAUAAGCUAGUGAAGGCAAGGUCUCUGUGAUGUUUAUGCAUAUUGGGCUGACAAAAACAAGUAGGAAUUGGAUUUAGGGGACUGGAGAAGACAGAAGCAAGAGCUUGGCAGACAGAGGCUUAAGCAGAAGGUGGAGCUUAAGCUGUUGAAAGUGGUUAGAUAAGUCGCGGUGAGUUCCUUUAGUUGUAGAACCCACCUUUUAGAUAGUUUAUGAUUAUGUUUGAGUGAGAUAAAUAAUUAUCUUAGAUUAAAUUAAGUUAAUUAGUACCCCAUACGAUGGUUGUGUCGAUUUAAGUAUAUGUUUGCCUUGCUAUGCUUUAAGUAUAUGUUUUACUGUGGUAAUCGAUUGCCACAUACCGGUAAUCGAUUACCACAUACCGGUAAUCGAUUACCAACCCCGGGAAUGUAAUUUUUACGCAACAAAACAUUGAUUUUUCAUUUAGAACGCCAUUGAAUCAAGUACGAACAUUCCUUUUGAUCCCGGAUGAAUUUCUGAUGGCAAAAUGAGGCUAAAACACAUAUUUAAUUGCACAAUGCAUUAUCAUGAGAGAUACCCUAAUAUUUAUGUAUAAGGAAAUAUAUACUCAGUAGAAUGUAUUCAGAUAUACAUAUGAUCAGAAAAGUAUAUCAGACUUAUGUUACAAAAAUUAUAUAAUUAGAUAAGUUGUGGCUCAGACAAGCUCCAGAUUAUGUCUGGAUGGGAGUAUGUUCAUGUUGGCAGUAUAGUAUGAGAUAAUUCAAGCAAAAUGCUUCCAAUUUUACAUGGUUUAUGUACUUUUUUGGACUAUUGGAUGUUAUAAAUACAAAAUCUGUUAGUUUUUUGGACCAACCUGGAAUAGAAUGCAAGAACUGCUCAGAAAAUCUGUUAGUUUUCUUUUUUAAAUGUGUGUUUAGAUAGAUUGCAUUUUAUAAUUUAAAAUACAAAAUUUAAACUUAAUAUAACAUGUUGCUGGUGUGUUUGCUUCAGACACUACUCAAUAAUUGAUAGACUGAAUUCUUGAAUAAACAUGAGAACCUUUUUGUUAAACUAUAUUUACUACUUGGACAGAUUACAUAAACAUUAAAAGAUUCAAUAUUUCUUUCACACUUUAACCAUCUUUCCUUUCAAAAUAAAAUUUAAACCUUAGGGACUAAUUGUGUAUUUUUGUUGGUGUGUUUCAUGUUGCUGGUGUGGUUGCUUCAAGAGUCCCAUGAGUAAAACGUGUAAACCUAUGGAUUGGAGACAAAAAAGAGACAUAAAAUUGCAUGCAUAAAGUUGUUGAACAGACAAAUGCAGAAAUACAGAAGAAGAAAUCAUGGAUUUUACAUAUCUUGUAUAGAAGACUACAUACAAAUAACAAAAUUUGUUGAUUUAUAUCCUCCAAUGGACCACUUGCAUCAUUACAAAUUUAGAGCAUGGAGCACAAUUAUGGAGAUAAAUCUCAGAAUGAAGGACAAAUUUAUAGAUAUGCAUAAAUAAUAGAAAGAAAAAACAACAGUAGUUCACUUAGCAAAGAGAGUAUGAAGGGUUCAAGUGAUUCACAUACCAAAGAGAGCGUAUGAAGGGUUCAGGGGAUGGAAUGCACUUCAACAAAGGCAACAUGUAUAUAUAGAAAAAUAAAUCCAAAUAUGACAAACUUGCAUAGUAGGUUUGUAACCUACUAUAUUGUAGCUUUGUAGGUAUUAUAUGAGGAAGGCUUAUUUAGCAAGUGGAUGAAAAAAAAAGACAACCAUUGCAAGUGGAUGUUGAUUAAUUUGAAAAAUGCCCAAUGCGGGAAGCCUACCAUAUCAUUUUACAUACAAAAACAAAGAUAUUAUAAUUUA